GACGAACGCUGGCGGCGUGCUUAACACAUGCAAGUCGAACGGAAAGACCCUGCUUUUGUGGGGUGCUCGAGUGGCGAACGGGUGAGUAACACGUGAGUAACCUGCCCUUGACUUUGGGAUAACUUCAGGAAACUGGGGCUAAUACCGGAUAGGAGCUCCUGCUGCAUGGUUGGGGUUGGAAAGUUUCGGCGGUUGGGGAUGGACUCGCGGCUUAUCAGCUUGUUGGUGGGGUAGUGGCUUACCAAGGCUUUGACGGGUAGCCGGCCUGAGAGGGUGACCGGCCACAUUGGGACUGAGAUACGGCCCAGACUCCUACGGGAGGCAGCAGUGGGGAAUAUUGCACAAUGGGCGGAAGCCUGAUGCAGCAACGCCGCGUGCGGGAUGACGGCCUUCGGGUUGUAAACCGCUUUCGCCUGUGACGAAGCGUGAGUGACGGUAAUGGGUAAAGAAGCACCGGCUAACUACGUG
rnacentral:rRNA from 1 species